GUGUCUGGCCGUGCCCCCCUGAACGUGCCUGAUCCCGUCUGAUCUCGGAAGCUAAGCAGGGUCGGGCCCGGUUAGUACUUGGAUGGGAGACCACCUAGGAAGACCAGGUGCUGUAGGCA
rnacentral:rRNA from 1 species